rnacentral:ncRNA from 1 species
ACAAUUGAAUUAGGGUAUCGGUAUUUUCCAUCGACAUUUGGACUUCUCCUAAUCGCCUCGGUUGCAUAGCCGGGGUUUUU